AUUGAACGCUGGCGGCAUGCCUUACACAUGCAAGUCGAACGGUAACAGGUCUUCGGAUGCUGACGAGUGGCGAACGGUGGGUAAUACAUCCGGAAGUGCCCGGACGUUGGGGAUUACGGGGCGAAAGCUUUGCUAAAACCGCAUACGAACCACGGAUGAAAGCCGGGGAUCUUCGGGCCUUCCCCGGACCGAGCGGGCGAUGGCAGAUUAGGUAGUUGGUGGGAUAAAAGCUUACCAAGCCGACGAUCUGUAGCUGGUCUGAGAGGAUGAUCAGCCACACUGGGACUGAGACACGGCCCAGACUCCUACGGGAGGCAGCAGUGGGGAAUUUUGGACAAUGGGCGAAAGCCUGAUCCAGCCAUGCCGCGUGCAGGAUGAAGGCCUUCGGGUUGUAAACUGCUUUUGUACGGAACGAAAAGCCUCUUUCUAAUAAAGAGAGGUCAUGACGGUACCGUAAGAAUAAGCACCGGCUAACUACGUG
rnacentral:rRNA from 1 species